ncrna:unclassified sequences pemK RNA
AUAAUGGUACUCCUGUCCAGCCACAGAUCACGCAAUGGGGGCAGCUCGGAGAGAUCCUCGGAGGGGUUCGAUUCCCGUGG